rnacentral:SRP_RNA from 1 species
UGGUGGUACUGGGGGAGCCGUGGGCCACCAGGUCACCUAAGGAGGGGUGAACUGGCCACAGGUCAGAGACGGAGCAGGUCAAAGCUCCUGUGCUGAUCAGUAGCGGGAUGGCACCUGUGAACAGUCCCUGUAGCACAGCCCGGGCGAGACAGCGGGACCCAGCCUCUU